rnacentral:rRNA from 1 species
GUGGGGAAUAUUGGACAAUGGGCGAAAGCCUGAUCCAGCCAUGCCGCGUGUGUGAAGAAGGCCUUUUGGUUGUAAAGCACUUUAAGCGAGGAGGAGGCUACCGAGAUUAAUACUCUUGGAUAGUGGACGUUACUCGCAGAAUAAGCACCGGCUAACUCUGUGCCAGCAGCCGCGGUAAUACAGAGGGUGCGAGCGUUAAUCGGAUUUACUGGGCGUAAAGCGUGCGUAGGCGGCUUUUUAAGUCGGAUGUGAAAUCCCUGAGCUUAACUUAGGAAUUGCAUUCGAUACUGGGAAGCUAGAGUAUGGGAGAGGAUGGUAGAAUUCCAGGUGUAGCGGUGAAAUGCGUAGAGAUCUGGAGGAAUACCGAUGGCGAAGGCAGCCAUCUGGCCUAAUACUGACGCUGAGGUACGAAAGCAUGGGGAGCAAACAGGAUUAGAAACCCGGGUAGUCC